rnacentral:rRNA from 1 species
GAAUCUUGGUCAAUGGGCGAAAGCCUGAACCAGCGACGCCGCGUGAGUGAUGAAGGCCUUCGGGUUGUAAAGCUCUGUGGGGCAAGACGAAAGAGCACGUUCUAACAGGACGUGUGUUGACGGUAUUGCCUUACCAAGCACCGGCCAACCCUGUGCCAGCAGCCGCGGUAAGACAGAGGGUGCAAACGUUGCUCGGAAUCACUGGGCGUAAAGGGCGUGUAGGCGGGAAGGUAAGUCAGAUGUGAAAUCCCCAGGCUCAACCUGGGAACUGCAUUUGAAACUGUCUUCCUUGAGUGUCGGAGAGGAAAGUGGAAUUCCUGGUGUAGAGGUGAAAUUCGUAGAUAUCAGGAGGAACACCGGUGGCGAAGGCGGCUUUCUGGACGACAACUGACGCUGAGACGCGAAAGCGUGGGGAGCAAACAGG